CUUCAAGGCCAGAACCCUGAUUCCUACAGCACCCAGCACAGCACAGACACUCCAUAAAUAUUUUCUGAAAUGAACUGACAGGUACCAUCCGUGCUGCCACUGCUGACUCUAAGAGACUGAGGAGGGUUGAGGCCGCCAGAUCUCACUUCUUCUCUAGGACAAGUCUGGCUUCAGCACAGCUACAUCUUCCGAGAUUCCUUAUGCACAGAUGCAGGAGCCAUAGUUCAAGGAAGGCUGGCUAAAAACAGCUGAGCAAUUAAGUUCUGGAGCUGGACUAGACAUCAUCAUGCCCACCACCCCACAGCUGACCUGGAAAACGCCUUCAGGAGCAAAGCAUCUCACAGCUAUCCUCAGCUCACAGACGUUCCCCUGAAUUGGUCUCAGAAUGUGGCUUUGGUGACUUUUCUGCCACCUUGACAUCCUCCCCACAUCAACUCUGCUCUUCUCAAAAUGUGGCUUUUGGAGAUGGCUGGGGUGCAGUGGACCUGUUAGCUAAAGGCGGCCUCCCCGGCCUCAUCAAACCGUGAUUCUCCCAGGCCGAAUUCUCCCAGGCCAGCAUCCGGUUCUUUUCUGCACUUGACUAUUUGUGGCUGCAGAGCACCCGAGGGUGCCGAGUACCCCUGGAGCAGGAACGUUGACGGCACACAACUGAGGGUCUAGUCUUCUGAAGCCCAGACACAGUGAGGAAGCCUCCUGGGCUUUCAAAGACAAUCUGAGAAGACCCCUCUCCCUUCUGCCGAGAGAGAAAAUGUUGUACUUGGAAGAGGCUCCCAGCCCCUGACUACAGCUUUGACUGAGCUAACAUAUGGCCUGGGGCUAUUUCCAAGGCUUUAUUACUCACCAACAAGAAUUAUUUGUUCAACUGAAAUCCACCUAGAGCCUUGUUUUGCUGGAGCCCCAUAGCUUACUGUUCAUCCCAACCCCCCCCUUCCAACCCUCCCUAUCAUGAUCCUCACUCCUAACCUAAAACAUGGAUUCCCACUUUGCUGGGACUAUCCAAGCCAUCCAUCCUCAACUCCCCCGAAAUCAACAACUGCAUCUCCAUUGAGUCCCGUACCCUCCUGUCAUCAGGGAGUAUCCUGGACCCCAUGUCUUGUCCUUCUCAGCAGCCUUAAAUAAUGUCAUCAGUUACUACCUCUCUCCUGCACCGUUAACCUCCCCACCCUCUUAGAUCCGUCGUAUUGCCAUUUGAGCAUGAUCUAAUCUUUCCAUUAAUGAAAGUAAGAAUAUUUGUAAUCUCUACAUUUCGAAUUCCCUUCUAGCUUUCUUUUCACAGCCACACAUUUCCCCCACCCCUAAAAUUGUUUGUGCUUGGCUUCUCCGAUUCCUGACUUCCCAUUCAUGCCUCAGUCCAGUCCAAUAUGACUUUUGCCUCCACUUCACCAAAACAGUUCUCAACGUCACCAAUGGCCUCCAUUUCACUAAAUCCACUGGACAGUUUUCAGCAUUCCUGUCAAGUGACCUCUUAGUGGUUUUCAACAACCCUGUUAACCUCUCUCUCCCUUCUUCUUGAAACACUCUUGUCUGGGUUUCUCAAUCACUGCAGACAAUUCUCCUAGUUUUCUUCCUUUCUGGUCAACUUCUCAACCCCAUUCCAGCCUCCUAAUCUUCUACAGCCUUUAACUACUGGCUUUCCAGGGCUCUCCCCAUGCCCAUUUCCUCUUCUUUCUGCAUUCUCUCCCUAGCUGAUUCCACAUCCCGUAUUGUUACAGACAGGAAACAGGGAAACAUUGGGUAAAAGGGCGGUUCCCCAGCAAAGGCCCCACCCUCAAGCCUGGAGGCCUGCAGCCCUACAUGAGGACAGGCAUUCCUGUUUUCACACCCAAAAAGUUGCCUUUUGGCCAGCCGUGCCUUCUAUCCUGUACCAAUAUAAACCCCGAACCCCAGGGUGCAGAGGCAGACGAGAUGAGGAGACAAGCAGACAGAUGGAAGAACAUGGCAGAGAAAGAGAGAAAAGGAGGAACAUCUGAAUGCCAAGAGGAGUUCGGCUGGGGGCAGUUGGAGAGGGGUUCAGCUGCUGGACAGCCAGGCUCCAGAGGAAGAUCAUCUUCCCACUCCAUCUCCCCUUCCAGCUCCCCAUCCAUCCUGCUGAGAGCCACCUCCAACACCCAAUAAAACCCCGA
rnacentral:lncRNA from 10 species